rnacentral:ncRNA from 1 species
ACGAGGAAGGGCAUCGUAAUCGACGAAAUGCUUCGGGGAGCUGAAAAUAAGCAUAGAUCCGGAGAUUCCCGAAUAGGGCAACCUUUUGAACUGCUCCUGAAUACAUGGGCAGACAAGAGACAACCUGGCGAACUGAAACUUCUUAGUAGCCAGAGGAAAAGAAUGAAAAAGC